AUUGAACGCUGGCGGCAGGCCUAACACAUGCAAGUCGAACGAGUGGCGGACGGGUGAGUAAUGUCUGGGAACAUGCCUGAUGGAGGGGGAUAACUACUGGAAACGGUAGCUAAUCCUGCCUACCAUCAGAUGUGCCCAGAUGGGAUUAGCUAGUUGGUGGGGUAACGGCUCACCAAGGCGACGAUCCCUAGCUGGUCUGAGAGGAUGACCGGCCACACUGGAACUGAGACACGGUCCAGACUCCUACGGGAGGCAGCAGUGGGGAAUAUUGCACAAUGGGCGCAAGCCUGAUGCAGCCAUGCCGCGUGUGUGAAGAAGGCCUUCGGGUUGUAAAGUACUUUCAGCGGGGAGGCGUUACCCGCAGAAGAAGCACCGGCUAACUCCGGGCCAGCAGCCGCGGUAAUUC
rnacentral:rRNA from 1 species